GCUAUUGAUGGAUCCCAAGGGAGAUUUCCUAUUAAUCACUUCAAUCUUAGGGCAAUGCAGAACCAAUGAAGGACUUGAGCAGAGCAGAGACCAAUGAGUACUGAAUUUUGGAGAGAGCAUCCAGGCCACUGGAUAAAGUGUGCAUUGGGAAAAAGAGCUAAAGGAAGCAAGGAAACUAGCAAGAGAGUUCAGGAGCACAAAGGAAAGGCCAUGCGAGGACACAGGGAGAAGACAGCCCCCUACCAGUCAGGAAGGGAGCCCUCACCAGAAACUGAACUGGCCAGCACAAUGGUCUUGGACUUGCAGCUCCAGAACUGUGAGGAAAUAAAUUUCUG